rnacentral:rRNA from 1 species
GAUGAACGCUGGCGGCGUGCCUAAUACAUGCAAGUCGAGCGAACGGACGAGAAGCUUGCUUCUCUGAUGUUAGCGGCGGACGGGUGAGUAACACGUGGAUAACCUACCUAUAAGACUGGGAUAACUUCGGGAAACCGAGCUAAUACCGGAUAAUAUUUUGAAACGCAUGGUUUAAAAGUAAAAGACGGUCUUGCUGUCACUUAUAGAUGGAUCCGCGCUGCAUUAGCUAGUUGGUAAGGUAACGGCUUACCAAGGCAACGAUGCAUAGCCGACCUGAGAGGGUGAUCGGCCACACUGGAACUGAGACACGGUCCAGACUCCUACGGGAGGCAGCAGUAGGGAAUCUUCCGCAAUGGGCGAAAGCCUGACGGAGCAACGCCGCGUGAGUGAUGAAGGUCUUCGGAUCGUAAAACUCUGUUAUUAGGGAAGAACAUAUGUGUAAGUAACUGUGCACAUCUUGACGGUACCUAAUCAGUAAGCCACGGCUAACUACGUG